rnacentral:rRNA from 1 species
UACGGAGGGUGCAAGCGUUAUCCGGAUUCACUGGGUUUAAAGGGUGCGUAGGUGGGUCUGUAAGUCAGUGGUGAAAUCUCCAAGCUUAACUUGGAACUGCCGUUGAUACUAUAGACCUUGAAUGCUGUGGAGGUGAGCGGAAUAUGUCAUGUAGCGGUGAAAUGCUUAGAUAUGACAUAGAACACCAAUUGCGAAGGCAGCUAACUACAGGGAUAUUGACACUGAGGCUCGAAAGCGUGGGGAUCAAACAGG